CUUCAAUCCGAGGAACCUGCAAGGAUGGAGGAGAAACAACGAUAACGACGAGCCGAAUGUUUUCAUGAUGGCGAUCGUUUGGACGUACGGCCUCUGGGCGGACGUACAACCAACGACAGGCUGCGCACACUUGCCCACGAUAAGAUUCACUGUCAUUUGCAAUAGAAAUCAAUAUAGUAAAUAGCAGUCGAGAAAUAUUUAUAGGAAGUAACUGUCAACUGUCGGUCGAGCAAGGCACAACCCUAUGGUGGAAAUGAAACUGCAGCUUGGGUCGUAUUUAUGCUCACUGUUCGAUUCCCUGAGGAGUAAGCGUAAUAAAAUAUAGCUUGUAUUCAUUUGGAGGAAAUGUACUUUUCAACGGUAAAAGAAUUACCCAAAUCGGUUGAAUGGUUUCUGAGAUUAUCUCGGAACACAUACAUACCUACGUACUUUUCUCUUUGUAAUAUUAACAUAGAAGAUGGAUAAAGCGUAAUUUACUCAGGUCUCAUUUAUUACGGUUUUGUAGCGGGUUUAUUCAGUAUAGAUAUAACGGUUCUCGUACAACAUAAAUUGUACAGCAUAGAUUAUCAUUUACUUCUGUAAAUAAAUAAUUUACCUCCAAAA